rnacentral:misc_RNA from 1 species
GAAAGCUGGACCUUGGUGCUCAGGUAGAUACUUGAGGUACAGUAAUUACUCCAAGAAAUUUGCUCCUUUAGUGCAUUACUAUUCCAAUAAUGGCUCUAUCAGGGCGUGCUGAGUUUAAUAGUGUAUGCAACAGCCACACCAACAAGUGAACAGAAAGCUGGAACCAGACCCAAACCAUAUCUUGUGACUAAAAUAUAAUCUAUGGAAAGGAAAUUCUG